GGUUCUUCAAAGACUAGGAUUGGCAUUUUGUGAGGGCUGAUUGCCCCUAGCUGUACUUCAGGAAAGGGUACCAUCAGUUAGUAGCAUUUUUUGGGACAAUGUGGUAAGUCUUGUACUCUUACAGGAGAUGGUUAAUGUAUGUGACUUGUCUGAUACCAGAACAGCAAUACUUUUAUUGAUAAUGCCAGAGUGUAUGACCUGGAUCUGUAACCUGACAGCACAGCACAAGGCUGGUGGGCCAAGUGUUUCCACAGUGAAGUCAGCUAAGGUGGCACAAAGAUGUGCUCAUGGUACCUCUGCCUCUGAUUCUUAGUCUGAUUCUUAGUUAAGUAGUAUUAGUCUGUUCUCUGUAUCAGCAGUAACUUCCUGGUGCUGGGUAGGAGAAUUAAGUCACUAUUCAUAAUAUAACAGCUUCUGAAAAUUAAGACAGAAUCCUGGCUAAACCCGAGCUGUGCUGUACGUGGUGUGUAUGGGGAAGAAAUGGCUAAACAAACCCUGAAGGAAACAAAACAUUAACAUGUACCUGAACUGACAAAGCACGUAUGUGAGGACUUCAGUAUUGCAAGUAAACAGUAUUUAUUUUCUAUUCAUGGCUGGCAUAUUUCUCUGCCUUCAUUUCAAAGGCAUGCAAAAGGUGAAUCCACAGAUGCAGUCAACUUCCCAUAACCAUGGUCAGAGCACUCUGUUUUCAUGAACCAGAAACAGGAGCUGGGCUUUAUCAGGCACAGGCUGGCUGGCUGCAGGUUCGUGUGAUGCAGCAGAAAGUGUUUCUGUGGCUGCUGCAGAGCUGCCUGGCGCAGGGUCAUGUCUGCUUUGUGAUGCUGAGAGCAGAUGCAGGGGAAGAGCCUGCUGGAGCAUCCCGGGAGCACAGCCGUGGCCAGCCUGUGUGCACGCAGCCCGGCUGCUGUCACAGGCCAUUUGGAGAGGGGCAGCCUUACCACCAUUUUGUUCCUGUCACCUGGCACUUUUUUAAUGCAGUUGCUUUUGGAUCAUUUAAUUUUUAUCUAAACAUUUGCUUCCCAGCUGAGGUCUUGGACAGCGCAGCCCUGGCUUCCUGGAGCAGUGCUAAGCCCCUGAAAAAGAGCUAUCUCUUGGAAAUGCUGACAGCCCUGACCACAGCUGGAAACUGCCUACUGAGCCCUUCCCAGGGUCCUUCCUUGCUGCAGACCCAGCGUGCCACUGUUUCUAAGUACCUUGCAGCAGGGUGGGUGUGAUUUAUAGACAGCGGUGGCAUGUGCAGAACCUGCAGUGCUCUUCUCCCAGCAAAGAUGCUUUUUACAAGGAAGGUCAGAUGCACCACAGACGAUUCAUUCUCCUUGUUGCUCUAAGCUGUGCUGAGAGGCAGAACAAGAUGAAAUCGCUUUUAUUUUGCAAAGUGCUAUUUUAUCGAUUUCUGCCAAACGAGCUCUAACUUGGUUGCAGUGCCCCUCCGGUGCCGGUCACCCGGGAGGGUCUGUGCACGCCUGCGUGGUGGCAGGGCAGGAGGAGGGAAAGCCCGGAGUCACCGUUAUCUCGAGCUGCAGCAGCGUUCUGACAGUUCUCGAGAUGGACAUUAAAUCGCUUCUGCGAGGGAGAGUGAAGGGAUGUCACUCAGGCUCAGGGAAGCUCUGCUGUACCAAUUACACUGACUGUGUGAUCCGAGUCAGAAUGAGAAUCAUAAAUCUUGAUUAUUCUCUGUCUCAACUGAUUUGAACCAAAUGCCUUGGACAGGGAUAUAGUUCACAUCUCGCUGAAAACUGCAAAAAACUGAUUAAAUGUACAAACUGAUAUAAAUAGCACUCUAUCUGUGUUAAUGCCCAAACUGUCACUGCUUGGGGAGAAGAUACUGUGUGGACUGGGCUUUCUGUCCUGGCCUAGAACGGCUUCCUGGGUAUUUUUGGAGGCAGCUUUCUCCUUACUUCCAUUUAUUUUGGUACUUUGUUCCUGCAAUGCUGGCUGUUAUUAUGAUGCUGUCAAUUACAGAUGGCAUCUCUGAUUCUGAUUGCACUUUGCUUACAAUUAAGCAUCCUAUAGAAAAAUGGAAAUGCUGGGUCAUUAACAUAAAGUAAUAAUAAGGUAAACCAUUCAAUUAUGUAGGAAAAAAACAUUUUGAAUAAUAAGGAUAUUGUAUGCCUAAAAGACAUUCAGAUGCCAGUGUAUUACCAUUUUUGCAUACAUAAUAAAUGAACUUUAAACCCCAAAAUAAUCAACACAAGCAAAUAAUAAAUAGCUGUGCACUCA